UCGUUAAUGUUUACACUUGCAUCCAUAUGUAAAUGAUAAAGACCGUCAAUCAAAAAAGUACGUACCAUAAAUUUAUUUUCAAAAUAAAUAAAAUAUAUAUCUUUAUUCAAAUAAAAAUUGUAAUUAACCUGUGCCUGCAUAGAGAUAAAAAUCAAAUUUUUACUAGCUACAGAUGCAUAGAAAAAGUCUUUCAAAAGCAAACUAAAUCCUAACGGC
rnacentral:lncRNA from 1 species